CGUGUAGGCGGCCAGGUAGGUCGGUUGUGUAAAACUGGAGGCUUAACCUCCAGACGUCGACCGAAACCAUCUGGCUAGAGUCCGGAAGAGGAGAGUGGAAUUCCUGGUGUAGCGGUGGAAUGCGCAGAUAUCAGGAAGAACACCCGUGGCGAAGGCGGCUCUCUGGGACGAUACUGACGCUGAGACGCGAAAGCGUGGGGAGCGAACAGGAUUAGAUACCCUGGUAGUCCACGCCGUAAACGAUGGGUGCUAGGUGUGGGGGGUGUCGACUCCCCUGUGCCGAAGCUAACGCAUUAAGCACCCCGCCUGGGGAGUACGGCCGCAAGGCUAAA
rnacentral:rRNA from 1 species